CAAUACUGAUAAUAAAUCCCUUAUAAACAAAAUACUAAGUUGUACACUCAGUUGUUUUGCCAUUUGCUUCAAACGCGUGACAGACAUAUAUUUUGGGCAAGUUUUUUGAGACUGACUUUGAGCUGGAUAUUUUUGUUAGACCUGGCAACCCUGAUAAUGGCGUGGACCAAAACUCUUCAGCUAUUACCACGUUUUACUGUGAACCAUGUAGAAAAAUGGACUGAAGAGGGAAGCCGAAUAUUAAGAGCAGUUUUGUGAAAAGGAUACAAUAACUGGAUAGAGGGGUACAUUACUAAUAUUGAAGUUUUCCUGAUGUAACGGCCAAAAAAAUGAAACCCACCUAUGACGCAGCCUUGACUUUGCCAUACAGAUACAGACGAAGUGAUUGCAGUGUUUCAAAGGAUGAAAGCUGAAGGGUCAGGACUCCCCCUAUCACUAGUGAUGCCCCAACACCAGGAGAGUGAAGACAAGCACAUGCCUCCUCCACACCUUUUUGAACUGCUGCUGAUGCAGCAUUGCUGAGUAGAAUCACAGCACACUCGGAGGAAAGUGCAGCAACUCGGUUUUGAUACAUCAGCUCACAGACGCCUUGUUCUGAUCGACAUCACCCUUUGGAAUGAUGUGGGGAAAGAGCGCCAUCUACCCAAGUUUGCUCUCUUAGCUACAUGAACAGGAUUCGAACCGUCAAUAUCCUGAUCAUAGUGGCAAGGAUGUUAAAUUUAAGCACUGCUUCAGAAAUAAAACAUCCUAUCCAUUUGGCCACUAUCAGACAUCACUUUAAAUCCUAAAGUUCUCACUGUUUGCUAUGAGCAUGCUUUGCUUUCCAGCAUUCCACCUUCUUCACAAGAUAAAACCUUAUACAGGUUCUUGAAAUGUCCCCUAAGGUUUUACUUUACAAUCAAGUUAUAUACUGCUAUCACAUGAAAUUUGGCAUGUCAGUUAUAGAACCCUUUUUUUAGGCUUAUUAUCAACGAAAGGUUUUCCAUUACAAAGCAAAAUGUUAGCAUUUAGGGUCUUUCAUUUGUCACAGUUCUAUGGAAACACGAAAUUUGCUGAAAACCCAUUGAAGAACUUCUCAUUUUUUAGACUAAUAAAUAAUGUGAUCAGACUGUAGGUGGUUAGGUAAGAAGAUAAGCAUAUUGAUUUAUGUGAAAUAUUGUCUCUGUGCAAACUGUAAUUAAAUGAAAUGGACAAAACCGAUACUGCACCCGCGAGAAAUGAGCCAAGCCAUCCAGCGCGUCAGUUGACAGAACAUUGUUAUGCUCUUUUAAUCAGAUCAUCGCCCCGAGGGACCACACA